CACAUUGACUGUCUUGCCUUCCUUCUUAGGCGAGGACUCUUCACUCUUGCCUGCUCCAGCAUGGGGUCCUUUCCACAGGAGACAGUCCUCCAUGAACUUCUCCAAUGUGGGUCCUUCCCAUGGGCUGCAGUUCUUCCCAAACUGCUCCAGCAUGGGUCCAUUCCAUGGGGUGCAGUCCUUCGGGAACAGACUACGCCAGCCUGAGUCCCCUGUGAGGUCACAAGUCCUGCCAGCAAACCUGCUCCAGUGUGCACUCCUCUCUCCACGGAUCUGCAGGUCCUGCCAGGAACCUCCUCCAGCAUGGGCUUCCCCCAGGGUCACAGCCUCUUUUGGGCAUAUCCAAGGGCUGCAGGCCAUGGCUGCCCGAAUGUUCCUCUCUGUGGUGCGACACAUCCUCAUCCAGCGCCUGCAGGUGGUCGGUGAUGACCUGGAUGAGGCCACACGCGAGCGCAUGCAGCAGCGUGCAGAGAUGCUGAACCAGGAGAUGACUCGUCUGCUGCAGGAGAUGGAGCAGAAUGACAUGGCCCAGAGACACCUGCUCUUCACUACCAUCUGGCAGUGCUGGGCUGUAGCCCUUGUUGUGCUCUUGGGGCUGUGGUGGUGGCUCCGAUUUUUGAGAAAUCAUCAUAGAAUUGUAGAAUCCUAGAAUGGUUUGAUUGAAGGGACCUUAAAGAUCAUCUAGUUCCAAGCCCCCUGCCAUGAGCAGGGACACCUUUCACUAGACUAGAGGUUGCUCAAUGCCUCAUCCAACCUGGCCUUGAACGCUUCCAGGGAUGGGGCUUCCACAACUUCUCUGGGCAACCUGUUCCAGUGCCUCACCAUCCUCACAGUAAAGAGUUUCUUCCUAAUGGCUAAUCUAAAUACACCUUCCUUCUUAAA